rnacentral:lncRNA from 1 species
GGUGUCCAUUUUUUGUCUUUCUUUGUUCUUCUUUCUUUUGGUUUUCUUAUGUAUUAUAUAUUGCUUCUUUUUUAUUGCUCUCUCACUCUCUCUUGAUUUUUCUUGUUUUUAUUUUUAUUUAAUUUGCCACUCUAACUUAAGAGCGAGUAGCUACAGUAAAUUUCAGAGAUAGCAGCUAGUUGUUCGUAACAUUUAACCGAGAUUUUAUUUUUUUGAUGAGGUUUCAGAUAUCGGGUGACUCCUUAGCUGUUGGAUGUGUCGUCUCUUUUUUGGAAAUACACAAAGCCAUUUAUUUUUCAUGUUGUUUAAGGUUUAUUUUUAUGCCUAACACAAUGUAUUAGUGUCCGUGUCACUUACACUUCCUUUAGUAGUAGAAUUCAGUGUCCAUCCCAUGGACAAUUCACGUGUCAACAGUGUGAAAUAUUUUUCAUUUUAAAAACUUUUUUUUUAAAAUAUCCUUCCCAUUUCACCUGCAAUUUUUGGGACCGCGCAUAAACUUUUACCUCAAUUUUUAGAAUCGCGCAUAAGAUUUCACCCGCAAUUUUUUAGAAUCGCGCAUAAAGUUUGACCUUCAAUUUUUAGAAUUGCGCACUUUCACCUGCAAUUUUUAAAACCAUGUAUAAACUUUCACCUGCAAUUUUUAGAAUCAUGCAUAAAGUUUAACCUGCAAUUUUUAGAACCGCGCAUAAAUUUUCACCUGUAAUUUUUAGAACCACGCAUAAAAUUUCACCUGCAAUUUUUAGGAUCAAGUUUGGACAAAAUUACGGGCUGACAUAAGCAGUGAUUAGCAUGAGGCUUAAUGAUGGAUUACAUGUAGCUUAAUUAUAGUAAGUUUGGCCGGGUACAUCACGUCGAGAAAAGACUUUUCUCAGUCGACUGAGUUCUAGUCAGACCCUUAACUUUUUGAACUAAGUUGAGUGUGAAGGUGCGAGUGCUUAACUUUUUCGAUGACAAGGUACAUUGCAUGCACUUGAUCUACUUGUUUAGAAGAGCUGAGAGGGAAUUUGGCAUGUGUUUUGUGCGGCUUACCGCCUGUAUAAGAGUUAGUCGCUCCUUUUCAUAAAGAUUGACGCGGUUUUGAAUUAGAAAUAGUUCAAGUCCGCGUACAAUCUUUAUGGUACGGAGGGACUACGUGGGAGGUGCGCGUGAACAGGGCGCCCGGCCCUGUGGGUACGUAGCCUGGCCGAAGAAUCCUGAUCGUUUCCGCUCCUUCACUGCGUUGCCAGAUCGUGAUGUACGCAAAUCGAUCGACUGGUCGCCGCCCCUCCUCAGCCUCGUCCCUGCGCUGCGCCUCUGCCAGUCUGCCUAAUCGUGACCACGGAGAAUUCACCGCCCCCCCUGAAGUCCUGAUCGACUGCUCUCCUUCAGUCUACAACUACAUAGCCUGAUCGGUGACCUGCAGGCUUGUUGCAUUCCCGUCGUUGGCUGCAGGUGAGUGAUUGUAGUACGGAGUAGCUAUCUUUCCAUGCUUGCGUCUUUGAUCUUUAAUUUUUUAUUCUUUUCAAUUUGUAAAUUUUAUAGUCUCAUUAAAUUUCAGAAUUAUGAAUCAAUCAUCAUCUAGAAAGUAUUCAUCUGGCGGUGAGAAAAGAAAAAGAAAGAAACGGGAUGAUGACGUAAUAAAAUUGCAUAAAGGAUAACAUGGACAAAUUUUUGAAGAGUAACACAAGCACGUCAAGCGUAGCAAGAAAUCCAGAUGAAUGUUUGCUGGUGAAAUUUUAUAUAUACACACAUUAGUUAUUGUUAUCAUAUUGUAUUA